rnacentral:rRNA from 1 species
UAGGGAAUCUUCGGCAAUGGACGAAAGUCUGACCGAGCAACGCCGCGUGAGUGAAGAAGGUUUUCGGAUCGUAAAACUCUGUUGUUAGAGAAGAACAAGGACGUUAGUAACUGAACGUCCCCUGACGGUAUCUAACCAGAAAGCCACGGCUAACUACGUGCCAGCAGCCGCGGUAAUACGUAGGUGGCAAGCGUUGUCCGGAUUUAUUGGGCGUAAAGCGAGCGCAGGCGGUUUCUUAAGUCUGAUGUGAAAGCCCCCGGCUCAACCGGGGAGGGUCAUUGGAAACUGGGAGACUUGCGUGCAGAAGAGGAGAGUGGAAUUCCAUGUGUAGCGGUGAAAUGCGUAGAUAUAUGGAGGAACACCAGUGGCGACGGCGGCUCUCUGGUCUGUAACUGACGCUGAGGCUCGAAAGCGUGGGGAGCAAACAGG